AGAGAUGGAGCAACAUGGAUCUCUGCAUCCUAGUGGAGUAGCUCAUCCAGGCUGAAGCCCUUUGAAUAUAUCAUGUCCCACCCUUCUGGUCAGCAACGUUUCUACUGAACAAUCAGUGAUAGCCUUAUUGGGUUUCUCUGGUGCGUUACAAACUGCUGCAUUGGAGCUGAGUCUUGGACCGAAUGAUAAAGCACUGGCUCCUUAUGAGCAGCUAGUCAGUGUUCUAUACCCCUCUGAUGUUCCUGGAGACAGGUGCUGUGGUGUUUUCUGUCUGGGGCAUCUUCAUUCUGCCAUGAACUUGGCUGGAUAACUGGCACUCUUCAUCCUCUGUCAAUACAAGUUAAUGAGUUUCAUACUUGACUGCAGCCUGUUAGAAAUGGAGCAGUGGUGGGGACUUCUUCCCAGUGACAGGAAGAAGCACGCACCUUGAGCACCAGAGAAAUAUUUGUACACUAGUAAUUUCCUUCUAUGGGUUUAAUGCACCUUGUAGGCUAUGUUCUCAUGUUGUGAUGGAAGCACCAUUUGAUGAAUGGACUUAAGUUUUAUGGACUCGUUCAACAACAACAACAACAAAAAACACAACAUACAAUGUGAUUAUGCACUCCAUACUUCAAAUGGGGGAAAUUUAUAACAGAAGAUCUUGCUCCUUCCUUCACUUUAAAGGUGUAGGUUCAGAAAGAGAAGUUUGCAUUAGACACCUCUAUUUCUCUCCCAACAAAAUGAGUUUAAUGCUUCUGUCUUUAAGGGCAUUAGAUCUAAUACUUUAAUUUGAUUUAAUUUAAGCAGCUUUACAGUCUUAUAUGAGCCAAACCAAUUUGCUUUUGGAUUCAUCAACCCUUCUAAUGAAAUUCAUAAUUGUCUGUGAGAAAAUGGAAUGUUGCCUAUUUCAGAAAAGCCAAAGGAAAUAUUAAUUUUCUUUUGAGCAAAUAAUGCUUUUCCAAAAUCAGUCUGUAAGUAAGUCUAGACUUGACUGAAAUAAUUCCACCUUUCAUUUUUUUGAAACUAUUUUUUUUUUCCCGAUGGUAAAAGUUCACUAGAUUUUGGUUAAAUAACUUUAUCUUUGAGAAUAAAUUCUGUGAAACGGUUUUCUGGAAAAAGAA